rnacentral:rRNA from 1 species
GACGAACGCUGGCGGCGUGCUUAACACAUGCAAGUCGAACGGGAAGGCCCUGCUUUUGUGGGGUGCUCGAGUGGCGAACGGGUGAGUAACACGUGAGUAACCUGCCCUUGACUUUGGGAUAACUUCAGGAAACUGGGGCUAAUACCGGAUAGGAGCUCCUGCUGCAUGGUGGGGGUUGGAAAGUUUCGGCGGUUGGGGAUGGACUCGCGGCUUAUCAGCAUGUUGGUGGGGUAGUGGCUUACCAAGGCUUUGACGGGUAGCCGGCCUGAGAGGGUGACCGGCCACAUUGGGACUGAGAUACGGCCCAGACUCCUACGGGAGGCAGCAGUGGGGAAUAUUGCACAAUGGGCGGAAGCCUGAUGCAGCAACGCCGCGUGCGGGAUGACGGCCUUCGGGUUGUAAACCGCUUUCGCCUGUGACGAAGCGUGAGUGACGGUAAUGGGUAAAGAAGCACCGGCUAACUACGUG